rnacentral:rRNA from 1 species
GACGAACGCUGGCGGCGUGCUUAACACAUGCAAGUCGAACGGAAAGGCCCUGCUUUUGUGGGGUGCUCGAGUGGCGAACGGGUGAGUAACACGUGAGUAACCUGCCCUUGACUUUGGGAUAACUUCAGGAAACUGGGGCUAAUACCGGAUAGGAGCUCCUGCCGCAUGGUGGGGGUUGGAAAGUUUCGGCGGUUGGGGAUGGACUCGCGGCUUAUCAGCUUGUUGGUGGGGUAGUGGCUUACCAAGGCUUUGACGGGUAGCCGGCCUGAGAGGGUGACCGGCCACAUUGGGACUGAGAUACGGCCCAGACUCCUACGGGAGGCAGCAGUGGGGAAUAUUGCACAAUGGGCGGAAGCCUGAUGCAGCAACGCCGCGUGCGGGAUGACGGCCUUCGGGUUGUAACCCGCUUUCGCCUGUGACGAAGCGUGAGUGACGGUAAUGGGUAAAGAAGCACCGGCUAACUACGUG